rnacentral:rRNA from 1 species
UUAAAUUGAAGAGUUUGAUCAUGGCUCAGAUUGAACGCUGGCGGCAGGCCUAACACAUGCAAGUCGAGCGGCAGUGGGAAAGUAGCUUGCUACUUUUGCCGGCGAGCGGCGGACGGG